AUUGCUUUUGUUGUCUGAAUACACUGACAUCAAAGAGCUUCCUCCUCAUCGACUAGCUGUGAUUCGUCGCUUUUUUGAAGACUACAAGAAGAAUGAGAACAAAGAGGUUGCAGUUAAUGAUUUUUUGCCUUCAGCUACAGCUCAUGAAGCUAUCCAGCACUCCAUGGUUUGAAAAGGAAAUGUUUACAAGGACGA